CCCAUAUAUGGCGCUUGUGUUGUUUUCCUGUUUUGAACUGGUUUCCAUUGUGAUGUGAAGGCUUUAAACUGGUUUCCAUUAUGAUGUAAAGGCUUUAAACUGGUUUCCAUUGUGAUGUGAAGGCUUUAAACUGGUUUCCAUUGUGAUGUGAAGGCUUUAAACUGGUUUCCAUUGUGAUGUGAAGGCUUUAAACUGGUUUCCAUUAUGAUGUGAAGGCUUUAAACUGGUUUCCAUUGUGAUGUGAAGGCUUUAAACUGGUUUCCUUUGUGUUUCCUCUGCAGCGUCUCCACAUCCCAACCUGGCUGGGAAGCCGUGCCUGAAGCUGAAAAUCUACGUCAAACCGAGCAACGACUCCAUCUAUGAAUCUCCAGAGCCCUUCCUGACGGACGACACCACCGGCGGCAGCAGCCUGGCUCUGCCGUCCGCCAUAUUGCUCUCCCUCCUCCUCAUCCUGCUCCUCGCCUCCUCGUAGCACCUCCUCCUCUCCCUCCUGCUGCUGCCGGGACAGAUUUGGGAAGCGAGCGCAGCUCCCGCUCCCUGACCUCUGACCUUUUUCUGGACGUGGAUGAGGAGUCGGAGACCGGCAGCGGGAGGAACUGCAUCUGGAGUUUUUAAAAACUUUUCUUUUAAAAAAGCAAAAACUCUGUUUCAGAUCUGAACGCUGAGGCUCCACUGACCUCCAUGUUCACAGCUGGCUGGAUUUUAUGCAUUUCAGGAAACUCUUUAAAAAAAUCCAUUCAUUUUUUAAAAUAUCAUUUUGUUCAUUUUCAAGUUGAUGCCAAAGUUUUGUACAUCCGUUCUAUAAGCCCCGCUAAGGACAUACAAGUCGUUACUCUCCUAAAAUACAAUACAUUUUAAAACGUUGAUAUGUUUCACUCUUUUCCAUUGACUGACUAAAUCUUACAAAAACCUUAAAGGGCAUCUAUUAUGUAAAAUUCACAUUUUGCAUGUUUUAAUGCUUCCAUUUGAGUCUCAACAAUUUCUAGAAACAGUUUUAAGCGCUUAAAAAAAAUCAGCCAGGAGUUUUGUGGCAAUAAGUUUAUGUUUUUUGGUGUCUAGAAAAUGAGCCGUUUCAAAAACCUCUGGAACUUUGAGUUACGAUUGAUGGGCAUUUCGCUGUUACCUAGCAACCCCAGCUGAGUUACGCCCGUUACCUAGCAACCCAAAGGGAGCUCCAGCUGUUUUAGUGCUGUACAAUGGCUGCUGGAAAAGACAAAGUGUUUUUUGUUGACUUUCCAUCCAGAAACCACUUGAUGCAUUCUAGUUGGUUGUGCAGAGGCUCCACUUCUGCUUUUCAAAGAUGUACGGUUGUAUAAUUUUGCAGUCAUUUUCACAUGCGGGUGCGUUGAGUUGGGGGCGUGGCCAGCAGCAGCUUAUUUGGAUUUAAAGAGACAAGACAGCUAAAAUCUUAUCAUCUAAGAAUGAUUUUGUGCAGAAAAUGUAAAGAACAUAUUUUAUUUUAUCCAUAGAUUUGUCCUAAUCUGUUCAAGGACGCGUACUAGGUCACCUGUAAUGAGAAAGUCAAACUUUGUCCAACUAGUCUGUUUUUUUUAACUGGAAACUUCAUUUAUUUACCUGAACCUUAAGGGAAAUUUAACCAAAUUUACACUUUCUAUGCUGAAAUCUCUCCCAAAAUAAUACUUUUGUUACACAAAUAAGACUUAGUGAUUAAUUAUGCUUAAAAAUAAUUUGUUUGAUUUUAAUACAUUUAUGAAGUAAUAAAAAUUAGAAUUUUUUAAACUAUGCAUGUUAAUUUCCUUAAACAUCUAACAGCUAAAAACAGUUUAAAGGUUUCACUAGAGAUGAGCAGUGCCAUCUGGUGGCCACAUUAGACACUGCAGCUUUAACAAACUGGAUCUAGGUCUGGAAAACGUUACCAAAAUACGGACGUUUCUCCCUGAUACAUCAAGUCUUUUUGUUUUAACCUGCAAUAAUUAAAAAUUACAGCAAUAAGAGCGAUAAAUUGAAGCAAUGUUUAAAUAAAUAAUGAGUAGUAAUUUAGAUAAAUGUGUUAUUUUUGGAUCUGGGGUUCAGUUCUACCUGUGCAGCUUGGUGGUCAGUGGAGUCCAGCUUCAGCCUGAGGAACCCAUCAGAGACUGAGACGUCUCCUGCUUUCAUCACUGGGAACGGUUCGACCCAGAGACGGCCAUGUUUCAAUCACUGAUGGUUGCAGUCGCAGCGAGACACAGUUUCCACCGGCAACAAAAUCAAUGCAAAACCACAAAGUUACUCAAAUAUUCACGAGUCACAUCAGUCAGCCAUAACGGGCUGAAAGGUGUGUUGCUCUCAGUAACUGUUUUCAUUACAAAUGUCAGCAAAACGUCAAUAUUCUGCUAAUGUUGAAAAAAUACAAUUUCUAAAUUUUAUUAAAUGGACACUUCCUGUCGUCUUCUUUGUCGUUUCCGCCAGUAGUAACAUCUGGCUGAUUAUCAUGUGGCUCAAAUGAUGCGAAGAAAGUGUUUCCAUUGCAGUUUUGCGAAAUACAUUAAUUUCGAUACAGUAGAAAAACAACCUCACCUUGGCGCAAAAAACUGAAGUUUUCUAGAAAUUGAUGUUUCCAAUUAAGCAAAUAAAUUUUCUUAAUUUCAAUUUGCACAAUUUUAAGGCCAGUUUCCAGUUUAGCUGCGUUUCCACUACAAAUGUCAGUAAAAUGUUGAUAUUCUAACAUUGACAAACCCUACUUCAAUUCCAUUAAAUGGACACUUCCUGUUGUCUUCUUUGUCGUUUCCUCCAGUAGCAACAUCCAGUUGUUCAUCAUGUGAUUCUUAUGAUGCGAUAAAAGUAGAGACAAAAGAUGCAGUUUUCUGGUUGAGAUGCUCAGACUUAGUAAACUGUUUGUGGCUCAGCUCUGAUUGAUCUUCAUCGUUAAUAACCGGAGUAUAAACCGCCCAGCCCUGCAGCAGCGAACGCCCUUCCCAGUCGACGGCCUUUCCUUCCUGAUAACCUGCCAAAGACUUGCUAAACUUUUUUAUUGGAUGCUUCUUUGGAGUCGGGUUUGGGCUGCGCCACCAGCAGCUGGCGGAUGAUUUAAAGGGGCGGAGCUUCCUUCUUAUUUUCUAAAUUUUGUCGUUUUGUUGUAAAUAAAAAGUAAAACCGAAUGUCCUGCGAAAAAUACAAAUGUACAAAUAUAUAAAUGGCCUUUUUCUCCUCCCCCCCCCCCCCCCCCCCCCCGGUCCCCCUUCCCCACUGGUGCUGAAUUUUUAAUGACUCCGAAACAGCGCCACCUUGUGGUGACGCUUUUCAUCAGAAAAACCCCAAACUUUGUGUUGUCUUCAUCACCUCAUGACGUCCUUCCAUCCCCGAUGGAGGGAGGUGUGUCCUUGUGAGCGGAGGAGCCAGGGGCAUGCUGGGAAAUGCAGUAUCUCAAACGGCGGCACUGUGACGGAGGACGGGCGAAAACGUUUUCAAAACGAACGUUUCCUUUCUGCCAUUUUGUUUUGAAACCCAGGAGAUUACUCAUAUAUGAUGUAAAGUCUGAUGUUUAUUGUUGUUUUAGUUCCUGUUUGGUUCCUGCCUGAAUCACGAUGCAUUCUGGUCGCUGUAGUCCUGUGAGUUCUGGUUCUGUUGCUGGUUCUGGUUCAGUGGGUUCUUUGCCAUGUUAAUGUUGACUUAUGUGUGAAUGAAUUUAGUUUUUUUGUGGCACUAAAUGUAAAAGAAGAGGAAUAGUUACAGAAAAUAAAGCUAAGUGCAUUCAAGAAGGAAAUGUUUUUCUACAUCAAAAUGUCUCCAUAUUCUAUUCUUUCAAAGACAAAAAAAAAAUCUGUUUUUUUUAUAUUUUCUUAUUGGAUGCUUAUAAAGUCCUGUUGUAAAGUUAAACAAAGCAUUUAUCUGAUUGGCUCCAGAGAGGUCAGAGAUCACAGGCCUCCUUUUGUUAGCCUGCGCUGCAUGAGCAGGAGAAAUAAAUUAUAUUUCAGAGAGAAAAUGUUACGAUAUGAACCUGUGUUUGAUAAAAACUUACUGCUAAUAAAAAGAAGAUUUAAGUUCCACUCAA